AGUGAACGCUGGCGGUAGGCCUAACACAUGCAAGUCGAACGGCAGCACAGUAAGAGCUUGCUCUUACGGGUGGCGAGUGGCGGACGGGUGAGGAAUACAUCGGAAUCUACUUUUUCGUGGGGGAUAACGUAGGGAAACUUACGCUAAUACCGCAUACGACCUACGGGUGAAAGCAGGGGAUCUUCGGACCUUGCGCGAUUGAAUGAGCCGAUGUCGGAUUAGCUAGUUGGCGGGGUAAAGGCCCACCAAGGCGACGAUCCGUAGCUGGUCUGAGAGGAUGAUCAGCCACACUGGAACUGAGACACGGUCCAGACUCCUACGGGAGGCAGCAGUGGGGAAUAUUGGCCAAUGGGCGCAAGCCUGAUCCAUCCAUACCGCGUGGGUGAAGAAGGCCUUCGGGUUGUAAAGCCCUUUUGUUGGGAAAGAAAAGCAGCAGGUUAAUACCCCGCUGUUCUGACGGUACCCAAAGAAUAAGCACCGGCUAACUUCGUG
rnacentral:rRNA from 1 species